rnacentral:rRNA from 1 species
GACGAACGCUGGCGGCGUGCUUAAUACAUGCCAGUCGAACGGAAAGGCCUGUCCUUCCUUGUGUUGGACGGGUACUCGAGUGGCGAACGGGUGAGUAACACGUGAGUGAUCUGCCCCCAACUUGGGUAUAAGCCUGGGAAACUGGGUCUAAUUCCCGAUAGGACUGCAGGGUGGUGCCUGUGGUGGAAAACGAUUUUCUAGUGGUUGGGGAUGAGCUCGCGGCCUAUCAGCUUGUUGGUGGGGUAAUGGCCUACCAAGGCGGCGACGGGUAGCCGGCCUGAGAGGGUGGACGGCCACAUUGGGACUGAGAUACGGCCCAGACUCCUACGGGAGGCAGCAGUGGGGAAUAUUGCACAAUGGGCGGAAGCCUGAUGCAGCGACGCCGCGUGGGGGAUGACGGCCUUCGGGUUGUAAACUCCUUUCGACCGCGAGGAAGCCGCCUGGUUGGAAGGGUGGUGACGGUAGUGGUAGAAGAAGCACCGGCUAACUACGUG